CUGCUGCAAAAAGAAGACGCUUUGGUCCUGUCGGAUAGAAGAGAGAAGGGUCCGGAACCAGCCAAGCCAAUCCUGCAAUAAUAACUUGCGUCAGCAAAAUAUUUUGAAAUGCCUAGUUACAGCGUACGUCGAAGCUAUUAUGGCCAUGGUGAGAGUGGUAUACGUAUAUUAUAGAUAAAAUAUCCGGAUCCGUCCGUCUUUUUUCUCUGUCUGGAACUGGGUUAUCUUCGGGCUGUUCGGGGAACGAGCCUAGUUCACCUGGUGGUUGGCCCCCUUUUCACAUCCAUCCUGAGCGGGUAAAUGGUAAUAAAGAAUGAUAGGAAGAAAUAAAUGGGGUUAUUAUUGUUUUUCUGCAUGCAUGGAAGGAAGUGACGAGGUGACGAUGGAAAUAUCCGUGGAUAGUUAAUUAGUUACUAAGAGUAAGAGAUUCUUAUUUUUUUAGCUCUUUGGCGCUGGAGAGAUAGGCUUGUGCCCAAUAUACAUUCCUUUUGUCUAUGCUGUAACUAGUUAGUUAUUAUUAUGCAAUAUGAUGGUGGUGAUGGUGAUUUUGUUGGAUAUUGUCAAAUGUUAUUCUAUUUUUACUUCUUGCAUAUUUAGUUCGCUACGGUUAACUAACGAUCAUCUGGAG
rnacentral:sRNA from 2 species